UACGUAGGGGGCAAGCGUUGUCCGGAUUUAUUGGGCGUAAAGCGCGUGUAGGUGGCCUUACAGGUCCGCUGUGAAAACUCGAGGCUCAACCUCGAGACGUCGGCGGAAACCGUAUGGCUAGAGUCCGGAAGAGGAGAGUGGAAUUCCUGGUGUAGCGGUGAAAUGCGCAGAUAUCAGGAAGAACACCCGUGGCGAAGGCGGCUCUCUGGGACGGUACUGACACUGAGACGCGAAAGCGUGGGGAGCGAACAGG
rnacentral:rRNA from 1 species